UAGGGAAUCUUCGGCAAUGGGGGAACCCUGACCGAGCAACGCCGCGUGAGUGAAGAAGGUUUUCGGAUCGUAAAGCUCUGUUGUUAAGGAAGAACGAGUGUGAGAAUGGAAAGUUCAUACUGUGACGGUACUUAACCAGAAAGGGACGGCUAACUACGUGCCAGCAGCCGCGGUAAUACGUAGGUCCCGAGCGUUGUCCGGAUUUAUUGGGCGUAAAGCGAGCGCAGGCGGUUAGAUAAGUCUGAAGUUAAAGGCAGUGGCUCAACCAUUGUAGGCUUUGGAAACUGUUUAACUUGAGUGCAGAAGGGGAGAGUGGAAUUCCAUGUGUAGCGGUGAAAUGCGUAGAUAUAUGGAGGAACACCGGUGGCGAAAGCGGCUCUCUGGUCUGUAACUGACGCUGAGGCUCGAAAGCGUGGGGAGCGAACAGG
rnacentral:rRNA from 1 species